UUCCAGGCGUUUAACUCCCUGCAGCCUUCUCGCACCUUCUGCGUGAGGUGGUGAGACUGGAGCAGCCGUUCCUGCGCACUUAAGGCCCACAAACGCUGCUUCAGUUCCUCAGCUCGGCCGGUAGGCACCCCUUGGAGUUGCUUGCAGCAACCGCUGCCAUCACCUGGCAAGCACCGCCCCGGCCACGCCCAUCACCCUCGGUCGCGGGGGGCGUGGCCUCUAAGAACUAGCAUUGGCCACUUAGGUCUCUGAGCGGCCCCCAUCUUGUGGGCUCAAAUGACAGCGUGCUGUGGUUUCCUUGUCCUUUCCCGCUGGAUAGCUGGGACUUGUGCACGUUCAUCUGGACAUUUAACCUUCCCUCACAGCCUAUGGAGGUAGCCAUGUUCUGCAGAGGGUGGACUCAGUACUCAUCUAGCCUUAACGUUGUGGAGUGGGCCAAGCACACCAGACGCUCCUACAUCAUUGCCGGUGGACACGUGACUCCUCCUGGUCAACGGAAAAAAUUCUGCUUUUCCAGAAAGUGUGUUCUUCUCCCAUUUUCAGUCAGUUGGCUCGUUACUGAUAAACUUGUAGGGCCGCUAUGGCAGGCCCUCUUUGGAGUUGGAUGCCCCAUCUCUGGAGAAUUCAGGAUUCAGUCACCCUGUUCAUUAUUAUCGAAGAGUGUAGCUGCCUUUGCUGCUGUUGGAAUCUGCUGUUCGGAGACAGAUAAUGUCAUUCUCUAACAGGACGUUUGACUGAGUGGGGAUCAAAGAAUAAAAACUUGGCUGAAAUGACUCAAAACUGUUGGGACUCUUUUCUGACCAAGAAGAAGCAAUAGUUGUGAUAAGAAACAAGUGGACAUAACUCCAAGACCAUCCCAGCUGAUGAGUACCCAGGAUAAUGCAAGCUGCAGGACAAAAUAUCAUCUCAGGGGAAG